UUCUUUAAGAUUUAUAAUUUAAAGUAAAACCUGCUCAAUGGUAUAAUUCUAAAUGGCCGCAGUAAAUCUGUGCUAAGGUAGCAUAAUAACUUGCUUUUUAAUUAAAAGAUAGAAUGAAAGGUUAAACGAUAAAUAUUUGUUUCUUAAUUAAUAAUUAAUUUGUUGUUCAAGUAAAAACACUUAAAUAAAAAGACCAGACGACAAGACCCUAAUAAACUUUAAUUCAUUUAGUUGGGGUGACAAAAUAAUUAAUCCUUAUAAAAAUUUCUCAACAAAUCUUUUAAUAAAAAUAAAGACUAGUUACUAUAGGGAUAACAGCGUAAUAUUUUUCAAGAGUUCCUAUCAAAAAAAAAGUUUACGACCUCGAUGUUGAAUUAUUUUCCUAAUUUUUAACGCAAAAGUUAAUUAAGGUAGUCUGUUCGACUAUWAAAUUUUU
rnacentral:rRNA from 1 species